rnacentral:rRNA from 1 species
UACGUAGGGUGCGAGCGUUAAUCGGACUUACUGGGCGUAACGUGUGCGCAGGCGGCCGCGCAAGUCGAGUGUGAAAUCCCCGAGCUUAACUUGGGAAUUGCGCUCGAAACUACGUGGCUGGAGUGUGGCAGAGGAAGGUGGAAUUCCACGUGUAGCGGUGAAAUGCGUAGAGAUGUGGAGGAACACCGAUGGCGAAGGCAGCCUUCUGGGCCAACACUGACGCUCAUGCACGAAAGCGUGGGGAGCAAACAGG